CAAUAGCGUAUAUUAAAGUUGUUGCAGUUAAAAAGCUCGUAGUUGGAUUUCUGGUAGGAGUGACCGUUCCGAACUUGAUUGUUCGUGUAUUGUGUUUUCUCCAGCCAUCCUUGUGGAGAACUUUUCUUGCAUUAAUUUGUAGGGAUUGGGACCCGCAUCGUUUACUGUGAAAAAAUUAGAGUGUUUAAAGCAGGCAAUCGCUUGAAUACAUUAGCAUGGAAUAAUAAGAUAGGACUUUGGUACUAUUUUGUUGGUUUGCAUACCAAAUUAAUGAUCAACAGGAACAGUUUGAGGAUAUUCGUAUGAACAUGUCAGAGGUGAAAUUCUUGGAUUUUGAUUAGACGAACUACUGCGAAAGCGUUUAUCAAGGAUGUUUUCAUUAA
rnacentral:rRNA from 1 species